rnacentral:rRNA from 1 species
UACGAAGGGUGCAAACGUUGCUCGGAAUCAUUGGGCGUAAAGCGCACGUAGGCGGCUUGCCAAGUCGGACGUGAAAUCCCUCAGCUCAACUGAGGACGUGCAUCCGAAACUGGCGAGCUUGAGUACUGAAGAGGAUCGCGGAAUUCCCGGUGUAGAGGUGAAAUUCGUAGAUAUUGGGAAGAACACCGGUGGCGAAGGCGGCUCACUGGCUCGUAUCUGACGCUCAGGCGCGACAGCGUGGGGAUCAAACAGG